UGGCUUUGCAGGCUCUGGUUGAAAAAAAGUAGCGCGUUUGGGUAGUGGCUGGUUACAGUACUGUGAGACUCAGGCUCGACCUCAUGCUUUGUUUUCUUUCCUCUGUUCACCUAAACGCAGAUUCCCGGUCGGAAUAUUAUCGCUUUUUUACGAGAAAAAUGGCAUAAAAAUGGAUUUUAAACAGCGGUUGACAUGCUUCGAAGUACGGUACUGGAAUAUGUAGACAUUUUUUGUCACGAAUUGCGCCAUGCUCGUGACCCUUAUUUACACUUCGGAUAGAGUCUUGAACGCACGAACAAAACGUCGCUAUUUGGAUAUAACGAUGGAUUAUUUUGGACCAAACCAACAUUUGUUAUUGAAGUAGCAGUCCUGGGAGUGCAUUCUGACGAAGAACACCAAAGGCUGCUGAUGAGCUGGUUGCUGACUGGCUGGUCCUGGGGCUGACUGCUGACGGG
rnacentral:lncRNA from 1 species